GGUGUCGUGAGGAUAGUGUGCAGUAGUAGUAGUAGUAGUAGUAGAAGAAGGAGGAAGACAUUGACGAGUGAAAAAUUAACUAGAAAAGAGGAGAAGAGGAAGAAAUAAGAAAGACAGAAAAUAAAAGUGCGUGGUUAUGAAUGGAAACUAUUACCUUGGGUCACAAAUUACUGCAGAAGUGGGGAUUUGAGGACUUUCUUUUUUAUUUCUUACAUCUUUGAAUAAAUGACGUGGAAAGCCUUACUCCUCACUUAGCUUAGAUUGUUAUAUUAGGUCAGGUCAGAUUAUAUUAGUUAGGUCAUGUCAGAUUAGGUCAGGCUAGGUAAAGUUAGGUCAUGUCAGAUUGGGUUAGGUUAAGUUAGGUCAGGUCGGGUUGGGUUAGGUUAAGUUAGGUCAGGUCAGGUUGGGUUAGGUUAAGUUAGGUCAGGUCGGGUUGGGUUAGGUUAAGUUAGGUCAGGUCAGGUUGGGUUAGGUUAAGUUAGGUCAGGUCAGGUUGGGUUAGGUUAAGUUAGGUCAGGUCAGGUUGGGUUAGGUUAAGUUAGGUCAGGUCAGGUUGGGUUAGGUUAAGUUAGGUCAGGUCAGGUUGGGUUAGGUAAAGUUAGGUCAGGUCAGGUUGGGUUAGGUUAAGUUAGGUCAGGUCAGGUUGGGUUAGGUUAAGUUAGGUCAGGUCAGGUUGGGUUAGGUUAAGUUAGGUCAGGUCUGGUUAGGUUAGGUAAAGUUAGGUCAGGUCGGGUUUAGGUCAGGUCACUUUGAAUAGGAUUAGAUUAG